rnacentral:lncRNA from 1 species
GCAGCCUGGUGGAACGCAAUUCAAUUUAUCAUCAGGAAACUCAUGAAGAGUCGAGAGCGGCUUCGCCCAAAGGAUGCAUAUCCCUUCAAUUGUAACGCAGAUCACUUAAGCCAAGGUCAGGCUACCACAUAGAAAUAGAUAACCCAAGGUAAUCCUAAACCCGUAAAAGUUCCAUUUUCUCUUCUUGAAAAGAGUCAUUAACUAUAGAAAUCAAUACUAUUUACGUUUAUUAGUAGAUUAGGCAGCGUCAAUCCAUAAGGUUACAUAAGUUAUUCUAUUAAACAGGUGAAAUCAGUGCUAAUUAGGGCUGACGUUAGGUUUCAUAAGCUUUUAUAAAAGAUCCAGUGACGGGAAAAAAACACCUUUAACUCCUCCAAGGUGAACCCCCUUCCAGAACGGAUCUUAGAAUUGUACUUCAAGGUCUGAGAAUGCACAACUGGUCGGAGUGGUCCAGCAGUAGGGCGUGGGAACACAGCCACGGCCUUCUUUUGACGCGCUGCAAAACCGAUCCAUCGCUAGAAACUCAAUGUAGGAUGCACAUCCGACGCAAUAGCGCCAAACUCCUAACGCCGCUUCAAUGCUUUGCAGAGUCAAGCACUUCCAAAAGCUGAAAAAAUGACGACCUCUUCUUCUAACUUUACUAAACCCACCAAAGGUCCUAGGGUUACCGCUGUCACACAUAUCAUAGAGUCUCAAAUAACGGACAGUUUGUAACCAAAUUCACCAAUACAGCGGUGGGAUGCUAACCCGUUCUUCUUCUUUUCUUGCGGGCGGGCUGGUUAAACCAGGUCCUCACAUAGUUUUGCCAGUCCUUCUUGAAGUGGCCAUUGGGGAUAACAUUGUUAUGCUUCACCAUGUUUCAACUCUUCACAUACACAUCACAAAAAUUGCGACAUCAACAAUCCGACCCUAAUUAUUGCUUCACGAAUUACAACAACAACACAAAAAUACGCCACUCCAUCACAAUCAUACACUGAAACAGAUGCAGCAGUUGGAUCCUCCCAACACCCUUAGGGAUUCUGAGCUCAAUAGGGUGACACAACCGAGUGCAGUUUCCAUGACAACACUAAUCCUAUAAUCAAGUCAAGCAUGUAGAGGGGAAAAAAGAAAAUUUUGAAAAAGCCCGUGGACAACAUUAAUCAGCACUAAAAGCAAUCUUCCUGAGGGAGCUUCACAGCAGAAGAGGUACCUUC